rnacentral:rRNA from 1 species
UACGAAGGGUGCUAGCGUUGUUCGGAAUCACUGGGCGUAAAGCGCGCGUAGGCGGCGAUACAAGUCAGAGGUGAAAUCCCACAGCUUAACUGUGGAACUGCCUUUGAAACUGUAUCGCUAGAGUGUCGGAGGGGAUGGCGGAAUUCCUAAUGUAGAGGUGAAAUUCGUAGAUAUUAGGAGGAACACCGGUGGCGAAGGCGGCCAUCUGGACGACAACUGACGCUGAGGCGCGAAAGCGUGGGGAUCAAACAGG